GCUGAUGCUGUAAAGAAAAACAUGGGAUUAUGGAGAGAAACAGAAGUGCUGUGUGCCUGUCAGGGCAAUAUCUGCACUGUCUGGGGUCAGAUGGUCAUGGUGGGCCUGAGAUACCCAUAUGCAAGGAAGUGAGGUUAGUCUGGUGCUAGAGAAAGAAUGAUGUAACAGAUAACACGGGCCCAAGGUCCUAAAUCGGAGCAUAUAGUAUAGCCCCAGGGCUCUCAUCUUUUCCAGUGUGCAGACUCCACAGCAUUUUUAAGGGGCACUUCAGGCUCCUUUCAAGCCAGGUUAAGCCUAUUGUCAUGAGCCUUAUCUGAGUCACCUUUCACAGACAGACCCCUUACAAAUAACUUACUUGUCCCACCCAUGCAUUCAAAGACUUCAAAACUGAAAAUCGCUGCUCUAUCCAGUUUAACUCAGCACUGUCAUCCAAUCCAGCAGUGAGGUACCAAAUACAGACUUUAGGGGAAGUAUCCACCAUCUCCUUGCUGUCAGAAGUUGUUACUGGUGAAGAUAACCCUAAACAACUUGUGCUUUCCUGUAACAAGUCAGUAGCAGUUAAGUCAAGAUAAAAAUUCAAAUGGAAUCAGAUAAAAAGUAGAUGCUGUUACUAUCUAUGCAUGAACAAAUGGGAUACAGAGUCCACAGUGUUGCCUUGACAAUAAAAAGCAUUGGAGUUCUCUUUUUGCAGAACUUGCUAGCAGUGAUGUAUGGGUGAUUCAUGAGAGAUAUUCUCUUAAACUACAAAUGUAGCCCCCAGGGCAGCUUUUCAAAGUAGAUGUUCCUAGGAAAAAAUUUUUUUUUUCUUGAUUUUUGAACUUGGUACACUUUGAAUGCUUAACAAAAUUAAUUUUUGGCAUGGAGUUCAUGAAAUAUCUCUGAUUAUUUUGAUUCUUUCAACUGAUUAAAUGAAGAUACCAAGCUUUGAGAGCCACGUGACUGGAGCCCUGAGCUAUAUAAAGGGAACAGCUCACCUGUUUCAUGUGGUGUAGAAUAAGAUGAAAGGAAAGGAUGUAGCUUGAAAGCAUGAUGGAGAACAGCCAGAGGGUAUUCUUACAUUCCAAAGACCAAUGUAUUGGAGCCAACUGCACAUGGUAAUCCUGACGGAGCAGACCACAUAUUUCAUGGCUUACAAAGCUACUGAUCUUUUUGGCUCUGGCAAGCUUUGCUGGGCAGUAAUCAACCUGGACCUACCAGAGCUCAGCAGGCCAGGGAGCAACAGUUUCAAACCCAUACUUCACUUCAGCCAUCAGAAGCAAAAACCUUUGGUCAGGUCUGCAAACCCCAAACUGACUGCCCAAGACAGCAGAGUGUGUGUUAAAGAGUCUCCAAACAAACGAAAAACUCCCUCAAACAUCACUCUGUUCCUUUUCACAAGCAGCAGAGAAAGAGGGGACUAAUGCCUCUUCAAGCAAGCAAAAGCAUGCAAACCACCUGAGUGUGUUGCCUUCCCCAGCCCUCAGCACCACAUGCUUGGGGAGGCACAGGGCAAGGGAGCCCCUUCAUAGCUACGCAGUCAAGGCUGAGAGUUAUUUGGAUUAGAUGAGGAAUUUCAAGUGGAAACCAUCUGAAUAUGUGUGUGAGCCUGUGUGAAGCUGAACUGUGUUUAAAGAAAACAAAUGGCUUCUUAUAGUACCUCUGCAAGGCCCGGUUCUAAAGGGGGUAUAAGUAAGCCUCCUUUUUCCUGCCAUCGCAAAUUUACAUGGGAUUGUGGGGAGUUUUUUCCUGUUCUGAAAGCAAAGAAUGAAGAAAAAAACAUGCCAGCAACGGUACGAAUAAAUUGGCAAGAUAUGCUGUAAAUAGCUUUGAUACUAAAUAAAAACAAAACAAAAUAAUCACAUUGCAGCCAUUUUAAGAUUUCAGCUUCCUUCUUCACCCCUGCCACUAAGCAGGCUUCCUCAAAAUAUGACAAGAAUAAUUCAGAGGGAUGCUUGCCAACUAUUUUCUGACCCAAAUCCUAGAGGUAUCCUCCAUCUGCAGCAACAGACAGCUCAUUGUGGUCUGUCAUUAUGUUCUGUUUGGUUUUCAACACCAACUACCCUAGUUAAUGAAAGAAGAUGCAACCACCAAAGACAAUGAACAGACAAACAUUAGCAGCAUUUCUGGGAAGCUUUGAGGAAGACUUCUCUAACCUUGAAUAGGCCAGAAUACAGAACAAUAAUGACUUAGGCAUGCACGUACAAGUGUAUUGCUUUAGCAAACUAGGUAAGCUCAGCUAUUAGGAAAACAGGCUGUAUAAAGCCUGGACAGGAUUUAAGGAGAAGAGAUGAAGAGCAGAGCUAACCAUUCAGUUUCUGUCACAGCACCACACCUACCUACUUACUUGGCCUCUACCUGCAGGCAGUAAAUUUAAUAGCUUGAA